GCCGAGUAGGUGCGAGCAGCUGGGGGAUUACGGGGGGGCGGGGCGUGGUCCGGAAGUGAGGGGGGUAAAGAGGUCUGUGGGGGUUUGUUGCGUUGUUCGUGAAAACUCACAGCUUAACUGUGGGCGUGCGGGCGAUACGGGCAGACUGGAGGACUGCAGGGGAGACUGGAAUUCCUGGUGUAGCGGUGGAAUGCGCAGAUAUCAGGAGGAACACCGGUGGCGAAGGCGGGUCUCUGGGCAGUAACUGACGCUGAGGAGCGAAAGCGUGGGGAGCGAACAGGAUUAGAUACCCGAGUAGUC
rnacentral:rRNA from 1 species